AUCUCCGACUGGGGACAGUGAGGAAGGCCAGGGGAAGAAAGAAGAAAAAGAAGGGGGGAAAGGAAAGGGGGGACAGCUUGAUACAGAGCCUGAAAGACCAGAAUCCAACAAUCACCUUCCUCUGAUGGUCAAACUCACUCCAGUUCUUUAGAAUUAGCCAAAGUCGUGAAUCUGGAGUGAUGGGCAGACCCAUUCUCUUGUUGAGAUGGCGGGUCAAAGACCACAAUUUCCUCUGGCAUAAUUUCUACUAAGGAUCCUAAAUGGUCGACAAGGGAUUCAAGAUGUAACUUCUAAGGGAGACCUCGCUCCCCUCAAAAGGAACACGAAGCAAACAUAUUCAUCCUUCAGUGACUUGAGUGAGGUUGGAACAUUUUAAAGGCUGUCCUUUUAAAAAUUGGAUUCCCACAGAUGAGCAUCUGCAGUUGGCUGACGACGGUGCCAAAAGCUACAGGAAACCACUGGAGAAAUGGCUUUGGUACAAGGCUUUCCUCUGCUCAUAAGGACCUUCCGGUGCUGAGGCCAACAGCCCAUCCUCGAAGGAGCUUACAUUGCAACUUUUGAAAUUACCUCCUUUCCAUUUUAUUUUAUUUUAUUUUGUCUUUUUGAAAUUACCUCCUUUUCAAAGACUUCUUUGAUGGGACAUUUGUAAAGGACCUGGCUCUUCGGCUCAAUGACUAGAAGUAUCCAGAUAUGUGGGACAAUUUCUGAAGGACAGACUUCUCCCCUCAAAGGAACCCCUUAGGAUCACUUUAAGACACUUGAGAUGAAACUUUUGAAAUGGAUGCCCCUCCCCCUCUACAGGAUCUCCUGUUGCUGAUGCCAAUGGUUAGGGACCAGAGGGCAUCAGCCAGUGACUGGAGGAUGGAACUUUCUAAAAGACCCAAUGUUUGAACCCCCAGGAAAGUGGUGUUUUCAAGGGACAGGAUACAUAGGCUGCUGACUGCCUGCCCUGGGGAAAGGGAUGAUGUGCCAAUGUGAAGCUGAAGAAAUAUUCACAGCCAGUCUUGGGAGGGCUGGCCAGAAAAAAACACACACAAAAAAGCUGAAGUCCCAGGGUGCUAGCUAAAGUUUCAGGGUACCCUUUAAGAGUUGUCUUCAAGACAGGAGGUCUUUGACUUUCACCAGAGUGCUGCCCCAGUCAGAAUCACAGCCUCAAAGUCCUCCAAGUCUUGACGCAGAGAGAACGUUUCAGAGGAAGUCUCCAAGCCCAUACUACAGUGGCUCCAUGGAGGAACCAGAGUCAAGCACCAGGGCAGAGGCUACAUAACAGGAAUGCAGGGUUUUAAAUGGACGUCAGAGGUCAUUAUCAUUACGCUGUGGGGCAAGGAAGUCUUCCAGCACACAAUCAAAAUGGUUCGGAAUGGAUGAAGCACGUGUUGAAACCAGAUUUCCUCGGAUUUGUUCUCAUUAUCCUUGCUGGAAAGUGGACAUGUCAUUUUAGAUGAAGGAAGGAAGGCGGCGAAGUGCAGGGACUCUGAUGCCACGGAUGGUGUCAUCUAGUUGCUCUGAUCUGUGUGCCAGGUGCCCCCACCAUCCUGACGAAGCUCUGAUUGGCGGACAAGGCUUCCCUCGUGCUCUGGCCAGGGAAGAUGACUCCUCUCCGCUUCUCUAGUGUCAACUGCUGUCACACGUCUGCAUCACGGAUCUCAAGUUCUCUACAUGAAAUCUAUACCAUUCUUUUCCCAGAGAUUGAACAUCCCCAGCUUUGAAAGAAAUGAUCACUUUCAAGGCAAGGGUGCCUCCCCAUCAUUGACUGCCUGAUGCUUGAUUUCCAGUUAUCUGACGCAGGAAUGAAGCUCUGAGAUAAGUCUUCAGACAGAAAGUACCGAAAACAGGACCGCAACCACAAAAGGCUAAGAAAACUAGGUGUAAACACUCCAGAGUCAACCAGUUGCAAAAAUCUGCAGGGGCUCUUCCUACACCCAAGAGCUGAUUAGAUCCUUCAAACUAAGAGAAGGGUGUACUCCCUCACCUAACCUCUAGAAACUGAUGGACUCCUAACACUACCACUAACAUGGUAUGAUCCCACUUAAGCCUGUCAUCUGAUGCCCAGCGUGUGCUUCAAGGACCAAGGACUCCUGAUUAUCCCCCGAGUAUCUCUUGAGUUUCGGCUUGGCUCUGUCUCCUGCUCACCUGCCUCUACCAGAGCAGCUGUUUCCAGUUUCCUGCUUCUGCCUCGGCUGAACUCAGCAGCACCCACAGCAAGGCCCUCCCAGAACCAGUCUGGUUCAUUAUCAAUACGGACUCUCCCUCAGCCCACUUCUGAAACCUCUUUGAACUGCUACAACUCAUUCUGUAAUCUAUAAAGAUGUAUAUAGGCAUA